GAACGCUAGCGGCAGGCUUAACACAUGCAAGUCGAGGGGCAGCAUGAGACGGAGAUUCGUCAAAGUCUUGAUGGCGACCGGCGCAAGGGUGCGUAACGCGUGAGCAACUUGCCCUUAUCAGGGGGAUAACCGGUGGAAACGCCGACUAAUACCCCAUGGCAUUGAGUUGAGGCAUCUCUACUCAAUUAAAGAAAUUCGGAUAAGGAUAGGCUCGCGUGACAUUAGCUAGACGGCGGGGUAACGGCCCACCGUGGCUACGAUGUCUAGGGGGUUCUGAGAGGAAGGUCCCCCACACUGGAACUGAGACACGGUCCAGACUCCUACGGGAGGCAGCAGUGAGGAAUAUUGGUCAAUGGUCGGAAGACUGAACCAGCCAAGUAGCGUGAAGGAUGAAGGUUCUAUGGAUUGUAAACUUCUUUUAUACGGGAAUAAAACCACCUACGUGUAGGUGCUUGUAUGUACCGUAUGAAUAAGCAUCGGCUAACUCCGUG
rnacentral:rRNA from 1 species